CAACUGCUGGAGGAAGGCAGGGUAGAAAUUUGUAUUCCCAUCUGGGAGAUGAAGUGAGUGGCUGGGACAGGUCCCAUGAUCACCAAGAUGCUGGCACUGGUGUGGGAAGGCUCCUGCUCCUUCAGACACUGUGCUGCCCCCCAGGUGUAGACAUGGUUAAGGACAGGGCUUUUGGAAAGGCAGAUCCCAACAGUAUGACCCCUGGCAAAUGGUUUGUCUUUUUAGCCUCCGUUUCCCAAUCUAUAAAAGGGGAUUGAUAAUGUCUACCUUUAAAUGUUGUGACAAUUAAAUGAAAAAGCAUACUUAGUGCAUUGCCCAGUAUAUAGCAACUGCUCAGUAAGUGGUAAAUAUCAUCAGAGUACACCUAGAAGUCCUCCCAGGACUCUGGCUGCCCUUUUCUGAGAGCCUUUCAAGGGAAGGGAAUAUAU
rnacentral:lncRNA from 1 species